rnacentral:rRNA from 1 species
GAAAGCUUGCUUUCUUUGCUGGCGACCGGCGCACGGGUGAGUAACACGUAUCCAACCUGCCCUUUACUCGGGGAUAGCCUUUCGAAAGAAAGAUUAAUACCCGAUAGCAUAAUGAUUCCGCAUGGUUUCAUUAUUAAAGGAUUCCGGUAAAGGAUGGGGAUGCGUUCCAUUAGGUUGUUGGUGAGGUAACGGCUCACCAAGCCUUCGAUGGAUAGGGGUUCUGAGAGGAAGGUCCCCCACAUUGGAACUGAGACACGGUCCAAACUCCUACGGGAGGCAGCAGUGAGGAAUAUUGGUCAAUGGGCGCUAGCCUGAACCAGCCAAGUAGCGUGAAGGAUGAAGGCUCUAUGGGUCGUAAACUUCUUUUAUAUAAGAAUAAAGUGCAGUAUGUAUACUGUUUUGUAUGUAUUAUAUGAAUAAGGAUCGGCUAACUCCGUGCCAGCAGCCGCGGUAAUACGGAGGAUCCGAGCGUUAUCCGGAUUUAUUGGGUUUAAAGGGAGCGUAGGUGGACUGGUAAGUCAGUUGUGAAAGUUUGCGGCUCAACCGUAAAAUUGCAGUUGAUACUGUCAGUCUUGAGUACAGUAGAGGUGGGCGGAAUUCGUGGUGUAGCGGUGAAAUGCUUAGAUAUCACGAAGAACUCCGAUUGCGAAGGCAG